rnacentral:ribozyme from 1 species
GCGGCUCUAAUCUUCACACACCUCUCGGUGGUGAGCAGCAGGCAACGGUCUUAUGACUGGCUGAGAUGUGAAA